GACGAACGCUGGCGGCGUGCUUAACACAUGCAAGUCGAACGGAAAGGCCCUGCUUUUGUGGGGUGCUCGAGUGGCGAACGGGUGAGUAACACGUGAGUAACCUGCCCUUGACUUUGGGAUAACUUCAGGAAACUGGGGCUAAUACCGGAUAGGAGCUCCUGCUGCAUGGUGGGGGUUGGAAAGUUUCGGCGGUUGGGGAUGGACUCGCGGCUUAUCAGCUUGUUGGUGGGGUAGUGGCUUACCAAGGCUUUGACGGGUAGCCGGCCUGAGAGGGUGACCGGCCACAUUGGGACUGAGAUACGGCCCAGACUCCAACGGGAGGCAGCAGUGGGGAAUAUUGCACAAUGGGGGGAAGCCUGAUGAAGCAACGCCGCGUGCGGGAUGACGGCCUUCGGGUUGUAACCCGCUUUCGCCUGUGACGAAGCGUGAGUGACGGUAAUGGGUAAAGAAGCACCGGCUAACUACGUG
rnacentral:rRNA from 1 species